UGACUUCAAACUGGUAGAUCAUCUCCUGAGGGAUGCGGGGCAGUGUGACAGGUCCAACGACGAUGCUUGGAAGAGGAGUGGUUAAAGAAAAAGAAGAAAAGGCUAAAGCGUGAUGAAGAAUAGAAUGCCCAUCACUAACAAAAGCCAAAGAGCUCUGGUCUUACCUAUAAACACACGCAAUCUCCAGUUUGAACUGAGAGUAGACGAAUCGUGAGAGAUGUGC
rnacentral:lncRNA from 1 species